AUUGAACGCUGGCGGCAGGCCUAACACAUGCAAGUCGAGCGAGCGGGGGACGGGUGUGUAUUGUCUGGGAAACUGCCUGAUUUAGGGGGAUAACUACUGGAAACGGUAGCUAAUACCGCAUAACAUCAUAUGUGCCCACAUGGGAUUAGCUCGUAGGUGGGGUAAAGGCUCACCUAGGCGACGAUACCUAGCUGGUCUGAGAGGAUGAGCAGCCACACUGGAACUGAGACACGGUCCAGACUCCGACGGGAGGCAGCAGUGGGGAAUAUUGCACAAUGGGCGCAAGCCUGAUGCAGCCAUGCCGCGUGUGUGAAGAAGGCCUUCGGGUUGUAAAGCACUUUCAGCGGGGAGGCGUUACCCGCAGAAGAAGCACCGGCUAACUCCGUGCCAGCAGCCGCGGUAAUUC
rnacentral:rRNA from 1 species